GANUGACUGGGCGUAAAGCGUGCGCAGGCGGUUAUGUAAGACAGGUGUGAAAUCCCCGGGCUUAACCUGGGAAUGGCAUUUGUGACUGCAUAGCUAGAGUGUGUCAGAGGGGGGUAGAAUUCCACGUGUAGCAGUGAAAUGCGUAGAGAUGUGGAGGAAUACCGAUGGCGAAGGCAGCCCCCUGGGAUAACACUGACGCUCAUGCACGAAAGCGUGGGGAGCAAACAGGAUUAGAUACCCUGGUAGUCCACGCCCUAAACGAUGUCUACUAGUUGUCGGGUCUUAAUUGACUUGGUAACGCAGCUAACGCGUGAAGUAGACCGCCUGGGGAGUACGGUCGCAAGAUUAAAACUCAAAGGAAUUGACAGGG
rnacentral:rRNA from 1 species